rnacentral:lncRNA from 1 species
AAAGAACGUCACCCCCAAUGCUGUCACUCACUAAAUGGAGCAUCUCAGGAGGAGAGAUGCUGCAGCCAGUCUCAGAGGAAGGAUCUCAGUCUCCUGGACAUAUCUGUUGCUUUCUUUCACUUGGUGAUAGACAAGCCACGAUCUCAUUUCAAAGCCUUCAGUUAGGCUAUGGGAUGCUACCUUCAAAAUCAAGCUUCUCUUAGAUCUAUAUAGAGGUGGAACACAACAUGAAGAUUGGAUAUCUAAUAUUGGCCUGAGGUUUUCUUUGUUCUGGGAAGUAAUCACUGGAGCGACUCUCUUGGUAUGACAUGCAUGGCUGCAGAGUUCCUC